CUCGACCUACGGGACGCAGCAGUGAGGAAUAUUGGUCAAUGGUCGGGAGACUGAACCAGCCAAGCCGCGUGAGGGAUGAAGGUACAGAGUAUCGUAAACCUCUUUUGUCAGGGAACAAAGGCGGGGACGUGUCCCCGGAUGAGUGUACCUGAAGAAAAAGCAUCGGCUAACUCCGUGCCAGCAGCCGCGGUAAUACGGAGGAUGCGAGCGUUAUCCGGAUUUAUUGGGUUUAAAGGGUGCGUAGGCUGUCGGAUAAGUUAGAGGUCAAAUGUCGGGGCUUAACCCCGUGCCUGCCUC
rnacentral:rRNA from 1 species